UAAGCGGAGGAAAAGAAACUACAAGGAUUCCCCUAGUAACUGCGAGUGAAGCGGGAAAAGCUCAAAUUUAAAAUCUGGUGGUCUUUGGCCAUCCGAGUUGUAAUCUAGAGAAGCGUCUUCCGCGCUGGACCGUGCACAAGUCUCCUGGAACGGAGCGUCGUAGAGGGUGAGAAUCCCGUCUUUGGCAUGGACACACCAGGGCUUUUGUGAUGCGCUCUCGAAGAGUCGAGUUGUUUGGGAAUGCAGCUCAAAAUGGGUGGUGAACUCCAUCUAAAGCUAAAUAUUGGCGAGAGACCGAUAGCGAACAAGUACCGUGAGGGAAAGAUGAAAAGCACUUUGGAAAGAGAGUGAAACAGUACGUGAAAUUGUUGAAAGGGAAACGCUUGAAGUCAGUCGCGUCGACCGAGACUCAGCCUCGCCUCGGCUUGGUGUACUUCUCGGCCCGACGGGUCAGCAUCAAUUUCGCCUCUUGGAUAAUGGCGAGGGAAACGUGACACCUUUACGGUGUGUUAUAGUCUCUCGUCGCAUGCAAGGGUCGGGAUUGAGGAACUCAGCACGCGCCUUUGGGCGUCGGGGCUUUGCCUACGAUACGUGCUUAGGAUGUUGGCGUAAUGGCUUUAAACGACC
rnacentral:rRNA from 1 species